rnacentral:tRNA from 1 species
UGCAUCGGCCAGGAAUCGAACCAGGGCCGCCCGCGUGGCAGGCGAGCAUUCUACCACUAAGCCACCGAUGC